GCCGGUGUGGCCUGUGUUGGGCGCCACAGCAUCCGCACGGUGGGGGUUUCUCUCCCGGGUCCAGAUGUCUGGGGAUCUGAUGAGAAUGAUUGUAGGGUCCAGCCCUGCAGGGUCCUGUGAGCCCCUCUCUACUGGUGCAGAGACAAGAAACUGUGAAAAUAAAACUGUGGACACAUGAUACCAAGAUAGAGAAAGAGAAGUCUGGCCCCAGGGGUCCACUGCCAAGCAGUACACACAGAGGCCAGCAGUGGCCUGAGCACCUGGACACCCUGACUUUUACUGAGUGCAACGCAGGGGGCAGGGCAGGUAGGGCAAGGCAUUGGGGGUCAGUGCCAGCAUCAAUAAAUCACGUGUCUUAGAGAAAGAGGCCCAGGACUUUCAAGUCGUCAAGGUGAGGAGAAAACCUAAUGCGUCAGCCCUUUUUCCUUACUUGUCAAGAAAGAACAAAUACAUUGAGAUGCAUGUUACUCUUACUGAUUCUAUUUUCUGAGAAAAAGAGGAAACAGGUAAGAAGCAGAACAUGAGGGUGGACAUGGAAUGUGACCGCUGAAGCACAGCACCGCAUAGAGACAGUUAAGCCCCCAGAUGUCUGCCGGCCUCCCUGACAGCCACCAGGCCCACCACAAGAGCUGGGGGAGUGGAGUUUUCUCCUAAGUCCUCCGAGGAAGGAGACAUCUUGGACAUCUCCUUCCCUAGCUGGCUAAUCAGCGGGCACUUUCCCAAUGCUGGCGCUGCCGCACAGCCUUGGCGCCCUCCAGCAGCACUUACGCAGGCUUGACAGAGGGCUGAGAGCAUCUUGCCUUAGGGUCACUUCUUUCACAGUGGCACCUUGGUUCACACUUCGCAACCCGAGACUUGUUAGCAGAAUUAAAAGGUUAUACUGCAUACAUAUAUCUAGGUAUCUCUAUCUGUGAUUGCUUAUGAAUAAUUAUAUGAUUAUC